UACGUAGGGUGCGAGCGUUGUCCGGAAUUAUUGGGCGUAAAGAGCUCGUAGGCGGUUUUGUUGCGUCUAUCGUGAAAACCUGCGGCUUAACUGUGGGCUUGCGGUGGAUACGGGCAGACUUGAGUUCGGUAGGGGGAGACUGGAAUUCCUGGUGUAGCGGUGAAAUGCGCAGAUAUCAGGAGGAACACCGGUGGCGAAGGCGGGUCUCUGGGCCGAUACUGACGCUGAUGUGCGAAAGCCAGGGGAGCGAACGGG
rnacentral:rRNA from 1 species